UAAACACAGAUGCAGCUUAGCUAUGGGUAAAUAGCAUAUGAUGUGCAGCAUUUCAAGACUACAAGAGCUGUGCUUUUGCCUAUCAUCAUCAUAUGUAUGCGGUGCCAAGUAAUUACAGCAGUUUGUUCGAACAAGAAUAUUAGUGCUAGAGGAAGAUAAAAUGCCAAAUUCGAUGAUACAAACGUGCAAAACAAUGCUAGAUCACAUAACUAGUCACUCCAGAAAUAUAGCGAUUCGGCAUCAGGUGAAAUAGAUGCAUACUUGAGUAAUACAGUAAAUGGAUGAACACAUCGGCAAUACAUAAACCAAUCUGGCAGAGAAGAUACCUAGCAUAUUGGCCUGCAUGUUGAUCCACCACAAUAUACAUGCGCC
rnacentral:lncRNA from 1 species